GAGACCAAUGACCUGAAGGAGUUCUUCCGGCCGAUGAGGGUUCAACACCUCAUCGAUCGGAAGGAUUUCCUUCCGGUCAAUGAGGUUGUUACACCUCAUCGACCGGAAGGAAUCCCUUCUAAUCGAUGAGGUUGUUACACCUCAUCAACCGGAAGGAAUCCCUUCCGGUCAAUGGUAUU
rnacentral:miRNA from 1 species